UCUUUAAGUCAGUUGUGAGUGAGAUUGC
rnacentral:piRNA from 1 species